GCGCCCGUAGUUCAGUGGUAGAAUACUCGCCUACCACGCGGGUGACCCGGGUUUGAUUCCCGGCUGACGCA
rnacentral:tRNA from 1 species